AGAGUUUGAUCCUGGCUCAGAUUGAACGCUGGCGGCAUGCCUAACACAUGCAAGUCGAACGGCAGCACAGUGUGUAGCAAUACACAUGGGUGGCGAGUGGCGGACGGGUGAGUAAUGCUUAGGAAUCUGCCCAAGGGUGGGGGAUAACUAGCCGAAAGGUUAGCUAAUACCGCAUACGCCUUUACGGGGAAAGCGGGGGAUCGAAAGACCUCGCGCCGAUGGAUGAGCCUAAGUCCGAUUAGCUAGUUGGUAGGGUAAUGGCCUACCAAGGCGACGAUCGGUAGCUGGUCUGAGAGGACGGCCAGCCACACUGGAACUGAGACACGGUCCAGACUCCUACGGGAGGCAGCAGUGGGGAAUAUUGGACAAUGGGGGCAACCCUGAUCCAGCAAUGCCGCGUGUGUGAAGAAGGCCUGCGGGUUGUAAAGCACUUUCGGUUGGGAACGAAACGGGUUCGGCUAAUACCCGCAUUCAAUGACGGUACCCUAAGAAGAAGCACCGGCUAACUACGUGCCAGCAGCCGCGGUAAU
rnacentral:rRNA from 1 species